rnacentral:rRNA from 1 species
GACGAACGCUGGCGGCGUGCCUAAUACAUGCAAGUUGAGCGAUGAAGAUUGGUGCUUGCACCAAUUUGAAGAGCAGCGAACGGGUGAGUAACGCGUGGGGAAUCUGCCUUUGAGCGGGGGACAACAUUUGGAAACGAAUGCUAAUACCGCAUAACAACUUUAAACAUAAGUUUUAAGUUUGAAAGAUGCAAUUGCAUCACUCAAAGAUGAUCCCGCGUUGUAUUAGCUAGUUGGUGAGGUAAAGGCUCACCAAGGCGAUGAUACAUAGCCGACCUGAGAGGGGGAUCGGCAAAAUGGGACCUGAGACCCGGUCCAGCUCCUUCCGGGAGGCGGAAGUGGGGAAUCUCGGGCAUGGGGGGAAGGCUUGCCGGAGAACGCCCGGGGGGGGGAAGAAGGUCUCCGGAUGGUAAACCCUUGUUGUUGGGAAGGAAGAAGGGUGGAAGUAAAAGCGCACGUAUUGACGGUAACUAACCAGAAAGCCACGGCUAACUACGUG